AAAUUUUUAAAGGAGGAAAAAAUAUCCGCACGUGUAAAGUAUAUAGUAAAUUAAAAUGGUCCCCUGAAUCAGAUUCCUAAUUGGAGCGCAAUUAUGGGCUAAGAAUGUGGCUUUAAAAGCUCUCUGUUGGUGAAUGGCCAAUCACAAACUGUCCAAUUUUCUGUAUAAUACCUAUUCAAAUCUUGAAUUUCUUUCCCUUCUUUCUCCACCCACUGAAAUAUUCUUCUUAUCUUAUGUAUCUAAACAACCAUGGAUUCUAACGUUAAGAUUCCAUCAUCAGUUCCAUCCAAUACGACACCAGAAAAUGAACCCAGUUGAGCUUCGUACGUCCUUAGAAUUUCGGUGAGUAGCCUUUCACAUCAUGCAAUAACUAGUAUAUAUAUGUGUGUCCUUUGAAUCAAAAUUUCAAGGCCUUCGUACUGGUGCACAGUGUACCUUUUGCUAGCACCCACGAGGGCAAAACUUUAAAUACUGUAUACUGGCAUAUGAAGAAGUUCUUGUAUAUAUAUAUAUAUUAUGA
rnacentral:misc_RNA from 1 species